CCUACGGGUGGCAGCAGUGAGGAAUAUUGGUCAAUGGACGAGAGUCUGAACCAGCCAAGUAGCGUGAAGGAUGACUGCCCUAUGGGUUGUAAACUUCUUUUAUAUGGGAAUAAAAUGUUCCACGUGUGGGAUUUUGUAUGUACCAUAUGAAUAAGGAUCGGCUAACUCCGUGCCAGCAGCCGCGGUAAUACGGAGGAUCCGAGCGUUAUCCGGAUUUAUUGGGUUUAAAGGGAGCGUAGGUGGAAUGUUAAGUCAGUUGUGAAAGUUUGCGGCUCAACCGUAAAAUUGCAGUUGAAACUGGCAGUCUUGAGUACAGUAGAGGUGGGCGGAAGUCGUGGUGUAGCGGUGAAAUGCUUAGAUAUCACGAAGAACUCCGAGUGCGAAGGCAGUUCACUGGACUGCAACUGACACUGAGGCUCGAAAGUGUGGGUAUCAAACAGGAUUAGAUACCCCAGUAGUC
rnacentral:rRNA from 1 species